UUCAUGAAUGAAAGUUUAAAAAAGAAAACAAUCUUUCGAAAUUUAAUGUCAGAUUGCCCUUAAAGCCAUCUCUUUCAAGGCAAUAUGUUACUCAGAAUAGAAACAGUUCCCCUGGAACAACACCGUUGAUGAAAUACAGUAUACUGUACCCGAUCUAUCAUGCAGUGCACUCUUCAAGUAAGACAAAAAUCUGUUUUAAGCUUCUUUUCAGUUUGCGGGACUCUCUCACUGGGCACAAUCAUUUGAAGUUGGAUCCGCAACACUACUCAAAAGAUGCGCUCCAGAACUUUAAAUUGGCCAAACGGUUCAUGUAUCAGUGGAAGCUAAUUCAUAGAAGUGUUCGCGACAAUCCCAUCGAAAGAUUGGAUGAUCGAUACCGACAGUUGCUUUCUAAAUAUGUAUUUCCGUCGAUGACUGAUUUGAGGAAUUUUGCAAUGGACUACUUACGCAUACAAAUUAGGAGGAAUAUUCCCACCGUGGAUCUUGCGAGCGGUACAUUUCUGGGUGCAAAACACAAGACGGCGUUACGCGGUAGUGAUUGCCACGCACUCGCAUCUUACGGUGUGUAUGACCCCGACAAAAGAAACAUCGCCUUGGAGUGGCUGAGAGAGGCUGUUGAUAGGCUAGAUGAAGACAUUGAGUGGAAGGAAUAUCAACACAAACUCGUCUUAGACUAUGCUUAUGUUCUCUCAGAGACAGGUAAGUCAGUAGUUCAUUGUAAUGCAACGCAAUUUUAUUAUUUCUACUAAUAUUUGAAAAAAAAUUGCAGUGAAACUAAAAAAAUUGUUUCCACAAAUAUCACCAAACAUAGUGUGGGACACACAGUAACCGGUGCAGUAGACAGGU
rnacentral:lncRNA from 1 species